rnacentral:rRNA from 1 species
CAAUAGCGUAUAUUAAAGCUGUUGCGGUUAAAAAGCUCGUAGUUGGAUUUCUGUCAAGGACAACUGGUCCGCCCUCCGGGUGAGCACAUAGUUUGGUCUUGGCAUCUUGCUGGAAACUGUUGCUGCGCUUGGUUGUGUGGUGCAGCUUUCAGCACUUUCACUUUGAGGAAAUUGGAGUGUUUCAAGCAGGCACAUGCCUUUGGACACAGUAGCAUGGAAUAGUUAGAUUGGGCUUUUGCUCCAACUUGUUGGUUCCUGGAGCUGAGGUGAGAAUCAAUGGGGAUUGUUGGGGGCAUCCGAAUUUAGCCGUCAGAGGUGAAAUUCUUGGAUCUGCUAAAGACGGACAACUGCGAAAGCGUUUGCCCAGGAUGUUUUCAUUGA